rnacentral:rRNA from 1 species
GACGAACGCUGGCGGCGUGCCUAAUACAUGCAAGUCGAACGCAUUUUCUUUCACCGUAGCUUGCUACACCGAAAGAAAAUGAGUGGCGAACGGGUGAGUAACACGUGGGUAACCUGCCCAUCAGCGGGGGAUAACACUUGGAAACAGGUGCUAAUACCGCAUAAUUCCAUUUACCGCAUGGUAGAUGGGUGAAAGGCGCUUUUGCGUCACUGAUGGAUGGACCCGCGGUGCAUUAGCUAGUUGGUGGGGUAACGGCCUACCAAGGCUGCGAUGCAUAGCCGACCUGAGAGGGUGAUCGGCCACACUGGGACUGAGACACGGCCCAGACUCCUACGGGAGGCAGCAGUAGGGAAUCUUCGGCAAUGGACGCAAGUCUGACCGAGCAACGCCGCGGGAGUGAAGAAGGUUUUCGGAUCGUAAAACUCUGUUGUUAGAGAAGAACAAGGAUGAGAGUGGAAAGUUCAUCCCUUGACGGUAUCUAACCAGAAAGCCACGGCUAACUACGUG